UCAUGGCCGGGGUGGCUAACAAUCUGUAUUUUCUUCCUAUUAAUUAGAAGUCGUAUUUCAUUUUCAGAUGAGGAGCGAGCCUCGCAGCGUAGCUGACAAGUUUGCAGCCCCUGCUUUGAGUCGUGCAUUGAAUUUUACUGAGUUGUUUUACCUGGAGACCAAAGCAACAAACGAUCUAGGCAGACUGAGAGCCUUACCAGAGGAUUGCACUUCUGCAAAGGCGGUGACACGGAGCGCGAAAAAAAUGACACGUUAUGAAACACCCGGGAGAAGGAGCCGGGGCUGUGGCUGGGUGGUGCCGCGGUGGCCCGGGAAAAAACAGUUCCCUGCCGGCAGAUUUCAUCCGACUGCCGUUAAUGAGCAGAGCUGCCCGGAGCUACCGGCGCAUCUGAGGAGCAUCUGUUGAGCAUCUCCGGCAUCCGGACAACGACUCUUGCUCAGCCCCCUCUGGAGAUGGCAGAGAAGGGCUGUUUUGGAGAGGAGCUGGUUCGAGCCCGUGGAUUCUGGGGUGUUUCUUCAUCCAUCUCUUUCCACCGGCAGCUCAGUGCAGGAGGCGCCCUCUCUACAAACGCUGGUUUUCCCAAAUCCUGGUAAGGAUUUAGUAAGACUCAGAAAUAAGGCUUAUUGAGCCUCAGAUGCAUUUUGCACAUAAAACAUUACACCACUGAACGGGGAAGGUAUUAAUACUACCGCUGAGAUGCUAUACUGAAUAAUUGGCCGGUCAACAGCACUUCAUUCACCUCAAACUGGGGGCAGACAUCACAGUGUCGGGAAAUCCAGGACCCCAGGAAAACUCCAUGGUGGGACGGUGUCAUGGGAUACACGAAACGUUUUCUUCCUGGGAAAGACAGGCUGAACUGCUGGUACAAUAGCUGAGUCUUUACUCAGUCUUGUCACCUGUAUGCUGCUGUCAUUAACUUUCGGCUUCCUAACAGCAGAAAAUCAGGCCCUUAAGUUUCUAUUUGGAUAGCGCAAUUUAACAUAAGCAAUAACCCCAUUAGCAGGUUGUUCUGGAAACCAGGCGCUGGGCUGCAUUACCGGCGCAAAGAUUACCUUCCUGCAGAAAUCACCACGUACCAACGCGAACGGCCGCCUUUCGGGGCUCAAACCCAGCCCUUGACCCGGGAGCUCCGUGCUGCUCUCCCUGCCUCCGCGCGGGUCCCUUACCUGGGAACACCCCGGCGGUGGCUGCAUCAUCCCAAAGCCCUGAUUCCGCCAGCAGCUUAACCGGGGGGGCUCAGAGCCGCUGCCCCCACCUCGCCGUGCCCCUCUCGGCCAUUGCUCUAGCCCAAACCCUUCCUGGCCAGCUCUGAUUUCGGGAGAAAGAAAAGGGAUUUUUUUUUUUUGAUCCGGAGGUGCUUCUUGGCUAUACGUUACUAUCGUAUUUCUCUUCCUUCUUCUGAUCCUUUGCUUACGGUUUUGUUCAGCGCCCUCCUAUAAUGCAGAAUGUCCCCCUCCCAAAAGUGCACGAGCCCUGCCAGCUGUGGGGAAGGAGGACCAGAGAUCGCAGCAGCUUGUUUUUGAAAAGGAAAAUAUGGCUGUUACCGUCUAAACUUCUGCCAGAGAAAGACGUGGGGAUUCAUAUUCAACUCCAUCUUUCCAGAAUUCAUCCAUUAGCGUUCGGGUUUAGAAGCCCAUGAAUAAAUAAGCCCAUGUUUAGCCCGUGCUAAACAAGAAGAUUGUUCCUUUCAGAGAAGCAGCAGUUGCCAAAAUCUCCACGUAGAAAAUGAGAAUAACAGUUUUAAUUGAGGCGUGCUUUUUUGUUUUAACGUUCUCUCCGCUUCUUUAACUAGGAAAUGGCUACAUUACCUGGAAAAAUAUUUUUGUAUUGUGCUGCUUGAGGGGAAAAGAGCUAACUAAAUUUGUAAAAGUGGAAAAUAAUGGCUAAGAGGUCUUUGUAAGGCUGUGGUUCUGACUGCUGGUGUCAGCUUUACUGCCAAUAUGCGCAGAUGUUAACGAAUGAGCUACCAUCAACCUCCCCUUAUUGUCCUAGGGCCCCACUCAGCUCGUAAAUGUAUUCACGUGUUAUUAUUUACAGUAUUUAGCGUUCGGUUUGUAAGCGCAAUGCUCCUGUUGAUGCUCUACCCCAAACCAGGGGAG